rnacentral:tRNA from 1 species
CUAAAGAAACGGGAAUCGAACCCGCGACAAAGAAAUCAAAGUUCUCCGUUUUCCUUCUAAACUANUCCUNA